AAAUUGUACACCUCCACAAGGCUGGAAAGGGCUACGGGGAAAUUGCCAAGCAGCUUGGUGAAAAAAGGUCCACUGUUGGAGCAAUCAUUAGAAAGUGGAAGAAGCUAAACAUGACUGUCAAUCUCCAUCGGACUGAGGCUCCAUGCAAGAUCUCACCUCGUGGGGUCUCAAUGAUCCUAAGAAAGGUGAGAAAUCAGCCCAGGACUACACGGGAGGAGCUGGUCAAUGACCUGAAAAGAGCUGGGACCACCGUUUCCAAGGUUACUGUUGGUAAUACACUAAGACGUCAUGGUUUGAAAUCAUGCAUGGCACGGAAGGUUCCCCUGCUUAAACCAGCACAUGUCAAGGCCCGUCUUAAGUUUGCCAAUGACCAUUUGGAUGAUCCAGAGGAGUCAUGGGAGAAAGUCAUGUGGUCAGAUGAGACCAAAAUAGAACUUUUUGGUCAUAAUUCCACUAACUGUGUUUGGAGGAAGAAGAAUGAUGAGUACCAUCCCAAGAACACCAUCCCUACUGUGAAGCAUGGGGGUGGUAGCAUCAUGCUUUGGGGGUGUUUUUCUGCACAUGGGACAGGGCGACUGCACUGUAUUAAGGAGAGGAGGGCCAUGUAUUGCGAGAUUUUGGGGAACAACCUCCUUCCCUAGUUAGAGCAUUGAAGAUGGGUCGAGGCUGGGUCUUCCAACGUGACAAUGACCCGAAGCACACAGCCAGGAUAACCAAGGAGUGGCUCUGUAAGAAGCAUAUCAAGGUUCUGGCGUGGCCUAGCCAGUCUCCAGACCUAAACCCAAUAGAGAAUCUUUGGAGGGAGCUCAAACUCUGUGUUUCUCAGCGACAGCCCAGAAACCUGACUGAUCUAGAGAAGAUCUGUGUGGAGGAGUGGGCCAAAAUCCCUCCUGCAGUGUGUGCAAACC